ensembl:lncRNA
CAAGACACUAUGGUGUAAAAGCAGAUUUUAUUUUUCAGAAUUGUUUAGACUGAAAGUCCAGGAUCAAGGUAGUAGAAAUUUUUGUUUUGGUGAGGACAUGUGUCCUGCUGCAAAUAUGACAGGCUUCACCAGAAGAGAGGGAGCAAAUUCUGUCUGCAUUCCCAUUUGGACACUAAUCCCAUUCAUAGGAGGUGUAUAAUAAAGAACCUAUGUAACUUAAUUACCUCACAAUGAUAUAAUAGUCAUAGUACAGAGAAGGAUAAGAACAUGAAUUUUUGGCCUUGACAGUCUUAGUUUGUAUCAUUACGGUAGUAGAAUUGAUGAUAAUCUGGAUUGGAGGAUUUCCUUUAAAGAUCCCUGUGCCUUUCAUGUAGGUUUCAGUCCAACAACUACCAGUACAUUCUGGCCUUGGUUUUUACCAUUGAGGAGAUCAACAAGAAUCCAAAUUCUUUACCCAACAUGACCUUGGGAUUUGAUCUCUACAAUUUCAUGCAUAGUGAAGUGAUGAUGAUGGAGAAUCCCUUCUUCUGGCUUGUGGGCCUGGAAAAGGAGGUUCCUAAUUACACAUGUAGGAAACAGAGCAAGUCUGUAGCAGUAAUAUCUGGAACAAGCAUUGCUGUCCAAAUGGGGACACUGCUGGAACUCUACAAAAUUCCACAGCUACACCCAAUUCUCAAGAAUCUCCAAUUUACCAGUCCUGUGGGUGACCUAGUGAAUUUGAAUCAAAAGUGGAAAUUGGAAGCUGAAUAUGACAUCCUCAACUUUUGGGAUUUUCCAUAUGGUGUUAGACGUAAGGUUAAAGUAGGACAGUUUUCCCCAUAUGUUCUACAUGCCCAACAGUUGUCUCUGAGAAUUUGAUAGAGUGGGCCACAGGAAUCACAGAGUGAGAGUUGCAGCCCUGGGUUCAGGAAAACCCCUCUGGAGGGAAAGCAUACCUGUUGUUUCGAUUGUACACCUUGUACAGAGAAUGAGAUUUCCAAUCAGACAGGUAAGUCAGUGCCAGCCUCAUGGAGAAUUUAACAGCUGUUUCUUAUAAUUUGCAACUUCUCUAUAGAGAUAAAAGAUGUGGCCUAUGACUGCUGAGAAAAUUCUUCCCACCUCCAGGUAGUAAUUAAUCCUUAUAGUCAACAAUAAUUCUCACAAGGAUGAAAGUUUUCACACUACCCUCUAUUUCAUGAAUUAUUUGAGAAAGUGUAUAAAAGACUGAUUGUCAUUGGAAGGCUGACCAUGUUAGAGUUCAGGAUGAUAUAUGUUGUAAAAUAUGAACAGAACCAAUAUUUAAGAAUAUUUACCCCAUAAAACAAUGUGGGACUUCUCUGAUUUAUUCCACUUAGCAGUAAUAUGCCAUCAUCACAUGUAUCAUGAAAAUUUUCCAAUUUCUGUUUAUUUUGGAUGAUUAGUUAUUUUCACCAUAUAUUAGGUAUCAUUCCAAUUUGAAACUUAUUGAUAAUUGUGAUAGAUUCUGGCAACAGAGUACAAUCCAUGUAAGAUGUCCUAUGUGCAACUUCAUUAUAGGUAACUUUGUAUCUGUGUUCCUUGUGCAUGUAUAAAUAAAAGUGCUUUCACCUAAUUCA